GCCGGGGUGGCAGAGCGGUUAUUGCGCUGGUCUUGAAAACCAGUGCCCUCACGGGCUCAGGAGUUCGAAUCUCCUCUCCGGCG
rnacentral:tRNA from 1 species